UUACGGCCACAUCAUAUUGAAACACCGGUUCCCGUAUGAUCACCGAAGUUAAGCAAUGUUGAACCUGUUCAGUACCUAGAUGGGUGACCGUUUGGGAAUAGCAGCUUCUG